GAACACUUGACUAAAGGUGGCAAAAAGGAAAUGUUAAGAGAAAAGAUAUUGCUAAGGUGCUAAACAAACCUUUGGAGGUAAAUUAGCAGUAUGACUAAGUCAGCCACUGCUGUCAGUCACUUUCAGACAAGC
ensembl:snoRNA